AUCUGAAUCCUCCAAAAUAAUAAUAACCAACCAACCACAUCAAUAUCAAUAUAUAUAUGUGUGUAUGUGCAUGAUCAAAAGUCCAAACCUCAAAUCAAAUCAAAUCACUUGUUCAAGAUGGCUGGUAGUGGCACCUUUGCAGAGAUCAUAGACGGUGAUGUCUUCAAGUACUACUCGCAAGGCAAGUGGAACAAGUCCUCUUCUGGAAAAUCCGUUCCCAUCAUCAACCCCACCACUAGGAAGACCCACUUCAAGGUCCAAGCUUGUACCCAGGAAGAGGUUAAUAGGGCCAUAGAAUCAGCAAAAACAGCUCAAAAAUCAUGGGCCAAGACUCCACUGUGGAAAAGAGCAGAGUUGCUUCACAAGGCCGCAGCAAUACUGAAGGAGCACAAAGCACCUAUUGCUGAGUGUCUUGUCAAGGAAAUUGCAAAGCCUGCUAAGGAUGCUGUUACUGAAGUUGUGAGAUCAGGGGAUUUGGUGUCAUAUUGUGCUGAGGAAGGGGUGAGAAUUCUUGGGGAAGGAAAAUUUUUGGUCUCUGAUAGUUUUCCAGGCAAUGAAAGAACCAAAUACUGUCUCACUUCCAAGAUUCCACUUGGAGUUGUUUUGGCUAUUCCACCGUUUAACUAUCCUGUUAAUCUGGCUGUUUCAAAGAUUGCUCCAGCGCUUAUUGCUGGAAACUCCAUUGUGCUUAAACCCCCAACCCAGGGUGCUGUUGCUGCAUUACAUAUGGUGCAUUGCUUUCAUUUGGCUGGUUUCCCUGAAGGUCUUAUUGGCUGUGUGACUGGAAAGGGUUCUGAAAUUGGUGACUUUCUUACAAUGCAUCCAGGGGUGAACUGCAUAAGUUUCACUGGUGGGGACACUGGAAUAGCAAUAUCAAAGAAGGCUAGCAUGAUUCCUCUUCAAAUGGAGCUGGGUGGAAAAGAUGCCUGCAUUGUUCUUGAAGAUGCUGACUUGGAUUUGGCAGCUGCUAACAUUGUAAAAGGUGGCUUCUCCUACAGUGGUCAAAGAUGCACCGCUGUAAAGGUUGCUUUGGUCAUGGAAUCCAUAGCCAACACUCUUGUCAAGAAAGUCAAUGAUAAAGUUGCAAAAUUAACUGUUGGGCCACCUGAGGAUGACUGUGAUAUCACACCAGUAGUCACAGAGUCCUCUGCUAAUUUUAUUGAAGGGUUGGUGAUGGAUGCUAAGAAGAAAGGAGCAACAUUUUGCCAGGAAUAUAAAAGAGAGGGAAAUCUCAUAUGGCCACUGCUUUUGGAUAAUGUUCGUCCGGAUAUGAGGAUAGCAUGGGAGGAGCCAUUUGGACCAGUUUUACCAGUCAUCAGAAUAAAUUCUGUUGAAGAAGGAAUUCACCAUUGUAAUGCUAGCAAUUUUGGCCUUCAGCUGUCUUAAGAGGGAUGUGUCUUCACCAGGGACAUUAACAAAGCAAUGUUGAUAAGUGAUGCAAUGGAGACAGGAACAGUUCAAAUUAAUUCAGCACCAGCUCGUGGACCUGAUCACUUUCCUUUUCAGGGUCUGAAGGAUAGCGGAAUUGGUUCUCAAGGAAUCACCAACAGUAUUAACAUGAUGACCAAGAUAAAGACUACAGUAAUCAACUUACCGGCUCCUUCGUACACUAUGGGAUGAAAUGGCUAAUAACGUUAAGUUAGUGUUCCCAAUCUCACAUGCUUCAGCUUAGCCUUAUAGAGUGGAUUUAUGAGGGACAAUCUUUAAAGGAUCUACUUGCAUAUAAACAAUUUGUGUUGAUGUGGCUUGUAUUGUAUGGAGAAAAAACAAGACUACUUGUACACGUAGAAUAUGAAUCUUGAAUAAAUUAUGGUUCU